ensembl:lncRNA
AUAGCAGGGGGGAAGGGAAAUUUGCAGGGCUGUUCUCAGAGCAGUGGCUGGAGAGGUAUACAUAAGAUUGGAGGGGAAAUACCAAGUCACAGCCUGAAUCAACAGCUGAACACCAGGAUACCCUUUUCAAGAUGCUGUUGCUCUUUCUGUGAAGAGAAUAGAAAUGAUAGCAGAAAUAUACAGCUAAAGAAAAAGAUUUCUCUGUGGCUGGAGAACAACUAUGUAAAUGAGAGGUCAUAUCCACAGCUUAGUCUAUUUUUGUAUGACAUCCUGCAUACUGGAAUUCAGGGAGAAGAGUUUCGGAGCAUUAUGCAAUUAUGCUCUAUAUUGUGUCAUGCCAAAGAGUGAAGUGAAUUUUGUGGUUGUAAUUUUGAUGGCCUUAUCUGUUCCCUCCAUGCUUGCCUUGUCCAAUGCUCCCUGUAGUUUGAAAUGUCCGCUCUGUCAGUCAAUGUCUACCGGCACUGUUACUUUGCAACUGAAAGAUAGUAAAGUCCUACAUUAAAGAGCAAAUACUGUAAUGUUGUGAUGAAUGAUCCAAGGGAAAAAAAUAAAAGGCUAUUUAGAGCAUGGGAUAAUAUGGCUACUAAGGAACAAAUUCAUGAAAUGUUCUUGAUUCAAAUGGGAAUGGUGAAGGGAUAAUUUGUAUAUAUCAUUUUCUUUGAAUUAUGGCUGCCAAGUUGUUUUCAUAGCUAAUGUGAAAAGUUUAUUUUGCAACUAAGUAGCACUAUUGUUGUUACUAGUUCGUACUAUUGUCACAGAAUAGGCAACCUUCUCUUGAUUCAGACACCUUACAAAGAAGGAUUUGAAAAAAAAAAAAGUCAUGUUUUCUUAUUUUGCUUUGCUUCUAAUGAGUUCUAUUUCUAGCAUAUAUAAUGAUUUACUGCAGACCUAUGGAUAUACUAUGGAUCUACUGGCUGUGCAGUGUAGCUUGGCAGAAAGGAGAAUGCACACAAAGAUAUUAGUAGAAAAUAAUUAAGUAGAUCUCAUUACUUGACAUCAAGCUAUAACUAAUCUAGCAAAAGCUCUGUUAAAGCAAAAGAUCUUAGAUCCAUCGUGGCUUACAUUGUUGAGAGAAUAAGAGUAUUUUAGGACGAUGCUGUAAGAUGAUGUUUUUAAGUGAAUAUUUUUGUGGGCUUGGAGCUGUAUUUUACUGUCUAAAUCUAAGUUUCUUUCAGAGCUAGCACAGUGUUCUGACUUGCACCGUGCUUUAUUUGUGUUAUGUUUCCUCUGACACUUUGUGAAAAUGCGUUUUUUGCUAAUAUAAGCUGAGAUCUUUGGCU